rnacentral:rRNA from 1 species
AUACGUAGGGUGCGAGCGUUGUCCGGAAUUACUGGGCGUAAAGAGCUCGUAGGUGGUUUGUCGCGUCGUCUGUGAAAUUCCGGGGCUUAACUCCGGGCGUGCAGGCGAUACGGGCAUAACUUGAGUACUGUAGGGGAGACUGGAAUUCCUGGUGUAGCGGUGAAAUGCGCAGAUAUCAGGAGGAACACCGGUGGCGAAGGCGGGUCGCUGGGCAGUAACUGACGCUGAGGAGCGAAAGCAUGGGUAGCGAACAGGAUUAGAUACCCUGGUAGUCCAUGCCGUAAACGGUGGGCGCUAGGUGUAGGGGUCUUCCACGACUUCUGUGCCGUAGCUAACGCAUUAAGCGCCCCGCCUGGGGAGUACGGCCGCAAGGCUAAAACUCAAAUGAAUUGACGGGG